AAUAACUGCUGAUCAUGGGGAGAGUCAAAGUACACGUCGAGUAUUGUGGAUCAUGAGGGUACGGUGGCCGGUACCAGGAGCUUCGCAAGGAAAUCCUUGCUGAGGUCCCUGAAGCCGAGGUCACUGGGGCAGUUGGUCGUUCUUCGUCCUUUGAAGUAACAAUAAACGACCAACUUGUCUUCUCCAAGCUGAAGACAUCUGGCUUUCCUGAUGCAAAUCAUGUGAUCACACAAGUCCAGGCCGCUCACAAAGGAGAAAGCAUGACAGAGAUUACAGAUUCUCAGUCUCCAGGCUGUACCAUUUUAUAGACCUGGAGGGGACACAUACUUACUGGGUUAAUCCAUUCCAUCCUUGGCAGGCCUUGAAGACUUUCACAUCACUAUUUACAUGUUGCAGUUUCCUGACUCAAUUCUUUAUUUGCAAUGCUUAUUUUUUUAGACAUUUAGUCAAUUUUUAUUAUCAUACUUUUUGAACAAAAGCAGCUAAUUAUACCGUCAUUUUACAAUUAAAAUUCAAUUUAUCGAUUUGAUCAUUAAAAUUGAAACUUUAAUGUGUAUUUAAAGGAACACAAUUUUGAUUCUUUAUGUAUUGAUAGUUUUGUAUUUGGUCAUUAUCUACAAAUAAAUAAAGUAGUUUUACCUCAUUUGAACAAACAUGAUUAAGGGAUGUGGACAGGGUUUGCCAUGUAUGUAAAAAUUGUUGUAUUUUCUUAAAUUUCCUCAGUGUUUGAGAACUGGUGAAUCACUCAUGAUAUUAAAACAUCACAGUCCUCUGGAACGGUGUUUUAGUGGAUACUCAGAUAAUAAACAGCUCUCAUUCAUGGACUGAAAUUGAAGACAUGUGUACCUCAGUUUUUAAUAUAUUGGUAAUGAUAUGUUUAGUUUGUGUAUACAUAAUGUAUAUAGAUAUAUUUAUUUAAGAUUUGUUCUCAUAUAUCUAGAAAUAGCUUACAAUUUGAUUAUUCUUAGUUUAAAAAGAUCAGAUAAAAUGGAGUAUAUAAAUGUUAUAUAAAAACAGUAAACUGAUUCAGCUCUU